rnacentral:tRNA from 1 species
UGUGGUGUAGCUCAGUGGCAGGGCGCUUGCCUAGCAUGCUUGAAGCUCUGGGUUCCAAACCCAGCACCAAAA